rnacentral:lncRNA from 1 species
AAAUUGAGAAACUUCUGUGCUGGCUGUGCUUUGCAGUGCCUCUCUGUAGAAAGCAUAUAUUGUCUUUCUCCUGUCUAAACAAGGCUGAAAUUUAAUUUGAAUGUCUUCUGGUCAUGCAAUACCCUGAGAAUAAGUCUUAUAAAACAGCCUGUAUCAGGCAAAUUGUGCAAAUUGUAGACCUGCUUAGUCUGAAUGAGCUUUAACUUUGUUAUAAGCUCAAGUGACUCCACUGAAACUCUGGCAUUUAUCACAGACAAAAUUAGGUCAGAAGAGAGCACAGAGGUACUGAACUGAAAAGAAAUAAAUUCAUCUUUAGAAGAAAAAAGGAAGUCUCAAACUGCAAACUUGGGUUUAAUUUGUCUCCUCCAUGUAAGUCCAGGCCUCAAAUCAAACUGCUGCCACCUGCUCCUUGCCUCAUUGUCUGCCCUGCCUGUGUUACUGCUGUCAAGGGUCACCAAGUUGACCAGAGGGAUGCAGCACCUCUCCUAUGCAGAAAUGGUAAGUGAAUUGGGAUUGUUCAGCCUGGGAAGGGUGUGAGGUGGUCUAAUUUCAGAUUUCUGUUACCUGAAGGGAGCCAACAGAAAGGAUGAG